AAGUAUAUGCAUAUCGUUAUAUGCAGAAACUGCGAACGGCUCAUUAAAACAGUUAUAAUCUACUUGACAUUUUUUUUUUCAUAAGGAUAACUACGGAAAAGCUGUAGCUAAUACUUGCUUUAGCGCUCUCGAUUCACGUCUUGAGUGUGUACUUGUUAAGCCUAUUAAGAAAAAAGAUAUAAACUUAAGGAAUUAUAACAAAGAAGUGACACAUGAUGGAUUUACAUCCAGUUCUUAGUGUGUAUCAAUCGAGUUUCUGACCUAUCAGCUUUUGAUGUUAGGGUAUUGGCCUAACAUGGCUAUGACGGGUAACGGGGAAUUAGAGUUCGAUUCCGGAGAGGGAGCCUGAGAAAUAGCUACCACAUCUAAGGAAGGCAGCAGGCGCGUAAAUUACCCAAUUCUAAAGAAGAGAGGUAGUGACAAGAAAUAACAAUACAAGACCAAAACUGGUUUUGUAAUUGGAAUGGUGGGAAUUUAAAUCCUUCCCAUAAUACAAUUGGAGGGCAAGUCUGGUGCCAGCAGCCGCGGUAAUUCCAGCUCCAAUAGCGUAUAUUAAAAUUGUUGCAGUUAAAACGCUCGUAGUUGAAUUUCAAAGAACCGAUAUUUUAAGUAAUGCUUUUUUUAGGUGGAGCCACAAAAGGUUAAAACCCAAUCUAUGGUUUCGGCUUUAUGUGUGCAUCUCUACUUAUUCAAGUGUUUUUUUUAAUUAAAGUGUUUCUUUUUUAAAAUCUUCUUUAGCUAAUAACAAUAUGGAAGAUUUUGUUACUUUGAGUAAAUUAAAGUGUUCAAAGCAAACAGAUAAAGCAUUUUUGUGCGUUUGAAUACUACAGCAUGGAAUAACAAAAUUGAACAGGUCAAAACUAUGUUUCUUUUUUUUUAUUUUUGGCUUAGUUACGAUUAAUAGGAGUAGUUUGGGGACAUUUGUAUUCAGAUGUCAGAGGUGAAAUUCUAAGAUUUUCUGGAGACAAACAACUGCGAAGGCAUUUGUCUAAAAUACUUCCAUUAAUCAAGAACGAAAGUUAAGGGAGUGAAGACGAUCAGAUACCGUCGUAAUCUUAACCAUAAACUAUACCGACUAGGUUUUGGAUGAAAGUAAAACAAAUAAGGAUAGUCUCUUCGGGGAUAGUUCUUAGAUUUCUUCCUUCAGUGCCUUAUGAGAAAUCAAAGUCUUUGGGUUCUGGGGCGAGUAUUCGCGCAAGCGAGAAAGUUAAAAGAAUUGACGGAAGGGCACCACCAGGCGUGGAGCUUGCGGCUUAAUUUGACUCAACACGGGAAAACUCACUAGUUUGAGACAAGAGUAGGAUUGACAGAUUAAUAGCUCUUUCUUGAUUUCUUGGAUGGUGAUGCAUGGCCGUUUUUAGUUCGUGAAUAUGAUUUGUCUGGUUAAUUCCGAUAACGAACGAGAUCUUAACCUGCUAAUUAGCGGUAAGUACAACAUAUUUUUAUGCGGAAUUUGCAUCUGGUACAUUUGCUAGGUUGGAACGGUGCAUAUAAUGAGACGAGAGGGAUUGCAUCGCCACUUUUGUUGCCUAUGUGACAUUGCUGCCGUUUGUUUAUCCCCAUCCUCUGUUCCCUGCCCCUGAAUGUCUGGCUUAUGAUGCCAUUUCGUUCUUGUGUAGAAAUGUAUUUGCUUUACGUAAAGCUUCUUAGAGGAACGAUGUGUGUCUAACACAAG
rnacentral:rRNA from 1 species